GACGGAGGAUGCAAGCGUUAUCCGGAAUGAUUGGGCGUAAAGCGUCCGCAGGUGGCCGUUCAAGUCUGCUGUCAAAGACCGGGGCUUAACUUCGGAAAGGCAGUGGAAACUGAACAGCUAGAGUAUGGUAGGGGCAGAGGGAAUUCCUGGUGUAGCGGUGAAAUGCGUAGAGAUCAGGAAGAACACCAGUGGCGAAAGCGCUCUACUGGGCCAUAACUGACACUGAGGGACGAAAGCUAGGGGAGCGAAAGGG
rnacentral:rRNA from 1 species